GACGAACGCUGGCGGCGUGCUUAACACAUGCAAGUCGAACGGAAAGGCCCUGCUUUUGUGGGGUGCUCGAGUGGCGAACGGGUGAGUAACACGUGAGUAACCUGCCCUUGACUUUGGGAUAACUUCAGGAAACUGGGGCUAAUACCGGAUAGGAGCUCCUGCUGCAUGGUGGGGGUUGGAAAGUUUCGGCGGUUGGGGAUGGACUCGCGGCUUAUCAGCUUGUUGGUGGGGUAGUGGCUUACCAAGGCUUUGACGGGUAGCCGGCCUGAGAGGGUGAACGGCCACAUUGGGACUGAGGUACGGCCCAGACUCCUACGGGAGGCAGCAGUGGGGAAUAUUGCACAAUGGGCGGAAGCCUGAUGCAGCAACGCCGCGUGCGGGAUGACGGCCUUCGGGUUGUAAACCGCUUUCGCCUGUGACGAAGCGUGAGUGACGGUAAUGGGUAAAGAAGCACCGGCUAACUACGUG
rnacentral:rRNA from 1 species